AAAGAACGCUGGCGGCAUGCCUAACACAUGCAAGUCGAACGAGACCUUCGGGUCUAGUGGCGCACGGGUGCGUAACGCGUGGGAACCUGCCCUUAGGUUCGGAAUAACUCCCCGAAAGGGGUGCUAAUACCGGAUAAUGUCUUCGGACCAAAGAUUUAUCGCCUUUGGAUGGGCCCGCGUUGGAUUAGCUAGUUGGUAGGGUAAAAGCCUACCAAGGCGACGAUCCAUAGCUGGUCUGAGAGGAUGAUCAGCCACACUGGGACUGAGACACGGCCCAGACUCCUACGGGAGGCAGUAGUGGGGAAUAUUGGACAAUGGGCGAAAGCCUGAUCCAGCAAUGCCGCGUGAGUGAUGAAGGCCUUAGGGUUGUAAAGCUCUUUUACCCGGGAUGAUAAUGACAGUACCGGGAGAAUAAGCUCCGGCUAACUCCGUG
rnacentral:rRNA from 1 species